UACGGAGGGUGCAAGCGUUGUUCGGAAUCAUUGGGCGUAAAGAGCGUGUAGGUGGUUGGAUAAGUCAGAUGUGAAAGCCCUCGGCUCAACCGAGGAAGUGCACCUGAAACUGUCCAGCUUGAGUACGGGAGGGGAAUGGCGGAAUUCCCAGUGUAGAGGUGAAAUUCAUAGAUAUUGGGAGGAACACCGGUGGCGAAGGCGGCCUUCUAGCCCGAUACUGACACUGAGACGCGAAAGCGUGGGGA
rnacentral:rRNA from 1 species